rnacentral:rRNA from 1 species
UACGAAGGGGGCUAGCGUUGCUCGGAAUCACUGGGCGUAAAGCGCACGUAGGCGGAUUGUUAAGUCAGGGGUGAAAUCCUGGAGCUCAACGUCCAGAACUGCCUUUGAUACUGGCGAUCUCGAGUCCGGGAGAGGUGAGUGGAACUGCGAGUGUAGAGGUGAAAUUCGUAGAUAUUCGCAAGAACACCAGUGGCGAAGGCGGCUCACUGGCCCGGUACUGACGCUGAGGUGCGAAAGCGUGGGGAGCAAACAGG